rnacentral:rRNA from 1 species
UACGGAGGGUGCAAGCGUUGUUCGGAAUUACUGGGCGUAAAGCGCGUGUAGGCGGCUGGGUAAGUCAGAUGUGAAAGCCUUCCGCUCAACGGAAGAAGGGCAUUUGAAACUACCCGGCUAGAGUACGGGAGAGGAGAGUGGAAUUCCCGGUGUAGAGGUGAAAUUCGUAGAUAUCGGGAGGAACACCAGUGGCGAAAGCGGCUCUCUGGUCCGAUACUGACGCUGAAAUGCGAAAGCGUGGGGAG